rnacentral:rRNA from 1 species
AGUGAACGCUGGCGGUAGGCCUAACACAUGCAAGUCGAACGGCAGCACAGUAAGAGCUUGCUCUUACGGGUGGCGAGUGGCGGACGGGUGAGGAAUACAUCGGAAUCUACUUUUUCGUGGGGGAUAACGUAGGGAAACUUACGCUACUACAUAAUACGACCUACGGGUGAAAGCAGAGGAUCUUCGGACCUUGCGCGAUUGAAUGAGCCGAUGUCGGAUUAGCUAGUUGGCGGGGUAAAGGCCCACCAAGGCGACGAUCCGUAGCUGGUCUGAGAGGAUGAUCAGCCACACUGGAACUGAGACACGGUCCAGACUCCUACGGGAGGCAGCAGUGGGGAAUAUUGGACAAUGGGCGCAAGCCUGAUCCAGCCAUACCGCGUGGGUGAAGAAGGCCUUCGGGUUGUAAAGCUCUUUUGUUGGGAAAGAAAAGCAGCAGGUUAAUACCCCGCUGUUCUGACGGUACCCAAAGAAUAAGCACCGGCUAACUUCGUG